UAGUAAUAAUAUUAAGGGCCUGUCCCACCAAAUUGUAAAUAAAUAAAAAUCUAACGUGUAAAAUAUGUGGAAAUACCGCAUUUUGUUGCCUUAUCUGACAGUUACGUAUCUGAGCCUCUAUCAGCCAAUGGGACAAGCCCUUAGUCAAAUUUUAACAUCGAGUUUCCAUUGUCAAGACUUGUGUAACAUGUUUUUAAACAAAACAUAAAUAUAUAGACAAUUUCUUUAAGAGAGAACACAUAAUUUAUGAUUUUUCUCGAAUUAUUAGGUAUUUUAACAAUUUCAGUCGAAUUACAGAACGACAAGUUUUUGACCCGGUGGGAAUUGAAAUCACUUCCCUAGGGGCCGUCCAUAUAUUACGUCAUUCUAAAUUAGGGGGUGGGUUGGUCUGCGGAUGAAGGUAAAUGAUAGAUAGGAGGGGGGGGUGUUUCGAAAUUGACGUCAUUCUUAUUUAUUUAUAGUUUAUUGUUCACAAUGACGUCAAUUUUGGGAGAAGGGGGGGUCAUUAAGAAAUGACGAUAGGAUGAUUGUAGGGGGGGAGGUCUAAAGUCUGA